CUUCACCGAGCCCAGCAGCACCGGCUCGCCCCGCCCCUGCCCGUAGGUCGCCAGGAGCGCCUGCGCCUC
rnacentral:antisense_RNA from 1 species